UUCAAAUUUUAACCGCUCACACAAAACUAGAAUAUUACAUCACAUGAAAUAAUAAACAAAACACUUUUGACUGAAUUUUACGUUUCGUUUGAUGCACAUGACUGGAGCGUAUCUUUUGAUGUAAUUUUAAGUGAAAUGAAACUUAAUUUCGCGACGCGAUGACUCAUCUUGUUUGACAGUUUGACAAAUGUCAGCCAUGUUGCGUGAAUCAAAUUUUUCGCUGCGGCUGCAGCUGAGGCUCAGUCUUCCUAAGAAAUCGACUUAAAUUUGUCGGAACCAACACCCAUCAUCCGUCGAGGACAUCUAUUUGGCAAUAACAAAGUUCAAUUAUUUCACAGAUGCUGCUCAUCCUUUCGUCGGAAUUCGUUCCGGAAUGUGCGCUUUGGCCAGGCCGAAGUGAACCAUGAUGCUGAUGGAGACCGGAUCAGGUUAGCCGGGUUCUCAAGACCUGUUAUGAUGAACUCAGCCCGGUGAGGACAAAAAAUGGUACAAGAGAUUGGAAGUGAUUGGAAGUGGAUCUCCGGGGAAUCGUCGGAAAUUUGGAGACGGAACCACACAUGACCUUGCGGGGAUUUCAGUGAAAACCAAAAGUGUUGUGACUCAAAGUGUUGAAUGAUUCAAUUAUUGUGAUGAGUGAAAUAUAAUUAUGGCUAAGUUCAAUAAAAACAUCGAUAAAUUCAAUUA